AUCACAAAUUAUCUCAUUACUCCCCACCAACUAAUUCAUUUAAAGGACUAAAGCAAGCAGCACAUCAAUCCAGCAAGUACAGUGAAGUAAAACAGUGCUACAAGCAAGCAGUGCCCUCAGAGCAGAAGGCAACAGUGCAGCAAUGUUAAGGCUCAGAGCUUUGAUACCACUCACCCCCUUGCCCCCAGCUCCUGAUUUUCAAAUGCUCAGAAGACAACAGCUUCUCACGAAAGCCAACAUCAGCAUUGCACAGAUGCUAUGAAGCAAGAGCGAUGGCCAAGAUCUGCAGAAGUGAUGAGUGAUUCUGGGAGUUUGGGCUGAAAGCAAAGAUCCCGACAACCAAGCAAUCCUUUAACCUCCAAACAGGAGGCAGAGGGAUGCACGGAGCCUUCUGCUGAUGCACUCAGGGCAGUCAUCAUGCACAGGCAGGACAGGCUCUGCCCAACCAGGCACUACUUUCCUUCCUGGAGAUGCAUAAAAAUCCCACAGAGAGCAGCAGAGCCACGACAAGGAGUUGAGAAGAUGGACUUAGAAUGGGGAGCUUUUUUCCUUUUUUC